rnacentral:lncRNA from 12 species
AGAAGUCUCCUCAAACGCAGCCUCAGGUGUGCUGCGAGAGGGGUUGGCAGAGGGUCCGGCCAGCCCGCAGGUUUCCUUCGACCUUGGCUAUGCCCGGGAGUGUCGCCGUUAACUGCGAGGCCCGCCUCAAGGUGGAAGGCGGCCGCGGUCUCCACUGCCACCCCGGAAAGCCAAGAGGUGCGGCGGGCGACGGCGGCGCGCGGUCCCUUCCAGGCCGGUCUCUUGCCACCCAGAGAGCUGCUCGGAGGCCGCCUACAGGUGCGAUCCCGGCACUGCGGCCUGGGCAGCGGGAGCAGCACGGCGCGGGCUCCAGGCCGUCAGCAUCUCGCCCGGCCCCUCCCCGAGCCUGAGCAGACCCCGGUGCGCCCGCCGCCCGCGCCCGGCCUCCGCCCUGCCACGGUUUGGGAAAGAAGCUGGGAACCGUCGCCCGAGACUUGGCCGACUCGGAGCCGGGAGGGGGUGGGGCGCGGCCGAGGCUUCCCCUCGAAUCGGCCGCAAGACUGGCUCCGGGAAAGUCCUUCAAAGUUCCCAGCAGCGCCUGCCCAGGUCGCCUCCGCCGGGCGAGCCGACGGCUGCAAGCGCGCCAGCCUCGCCGCCCCUGCCCCUGCCCCUGCCCCUGCCCCUGCCCCUGCCGCCGCCCCUGCCCCUGCCGCCGCCGCCCCCGCCCCUGCAGCCGCCGCCAGCAGCGCGCUCUGGGGGCUCGCUCGCUCGCUCGCGGGAAGCGGGCCGGGCUCCCGGCGGGCAGGCCCUCCUCCAGGGGCGAGAGGCGCAGCUGACGCAGGCGGCUCGGAAGGCGGAAGCUGCCCCGCUCCGACCGCUCCGGCAGCGCCGCGGCGCCUACACCUGGGGCCGAGACCCGCCGGCCCGAGGAGCCCGAGGAGCCCGAGGGGACUCCUGGCAUCUACAGGGCCGCGCGCCCCUGAGCAACGGACCCUGGCGAGGUCCUCGCCGCACCCUGCCCGCCUUCCCGCCCGCCUUCCCGCCCGGCCCGGAGCUCCCGGACGCGGGGUCCGCGCUGGGCCCCGGGACGCCGACGCCUACGCCGUCCCGCGGGCCCCGGAGCCCCCGGCCCCUUCCAAGUUCCUCCCGGAUCGCCCCCUCCCCAGCAACCAGGGGGAGGGGGCGUGUCCUCGCCCGGCACGCCCCCUCAUGAAUAUUAAUAGGCGCGCAUGCGCCCGUCCGGCGCGCUGGGUAGAGGUGGCCAGCCCGGGCCGCGGCUCCCAGACGGGCUCUCCGAGUCCCUCUCCGAGAGCCGAGCGGGCACGCGUCAUUGUGUUACCUGCGGCCGGCCCGCGCACUGGGCUCGGGUUUUUUUUUUUUUUUUUUUCCUCCCUCCCCUCCCUCUCUUCUUUCUAA